rnacentral:lncRNA from 1 species
GGUUCCAGUGGAGUCGUUGUCGCCGCCGUGCAGCACAGCGCGGGCGCACAGCUCCUCCCAGCUGUCCCCCGCCGCCAGCAGCGCCUCCAGAGCCACCAUGGGUGCGUCGUGCCCGCUGCGCCCUGCCCACCCCCCAGCGCCCAGCGCACGUACUCGGCGUCACGCUCCUCCGGCGUCGGCAGUGAUGGCACUCGUGGGGGACCACCGCCCCCCAGGAGACCUCGUGACUCCAGGUACCGGCGCCAGGUGUCCCCGAAGAAGUCCCAUGCGGCGGCGUUUUCCUCCACGGCCACCCCUUCACCCUCCACAUAAUCCCAUGCGUGGGGCAGAAUGCGCAGCAGCUCAGCGCCCCACAGCUCAGGGGGUUCCCCACGCACCCCCAGCGCCCCAAACAGUGCCACGGCCAAUGCGCCCAGGUACC